UGGGGAAUAUUGCACAAUGGGGGAAACCCUGAUGCAGCGACGCCGCGUGAGCGAAGAAGGUUUUCGAAUCGUAAAGCUCUGUCCUAUGAGAAGAUAAUGACGGUAUCAUAGGAGGAAGCCCUGGCUAAAUACGUGCCAGCAGCCGCGGUAAUACGUAUGGGGCGAGCGUUGUCCGGAAUUAUUGGGCGUAAAGGGUACGUAGGCGGUCUAUUAAGUCAGGUGUGAAAGCGUGAGGCUUAACCUCAUUAAGCACUUGAAACUGAUAGACUUGAGUGAAGGAGAGGAAAGUGGAAUUCCUAGUGUAGCGGUGAAAUGCGUAGAUAUUAGGAGGAAGACCGGUGGCGAAGGCGACUUUCUGGACUUUUACUGACGCUCAGGUACGAAAGCGUGGGGAGCGAACAGG
rnacentral:rRNA from 1 species